UCGUGGGACUUCCUAAAGUUCUAAAACCCCCCAAGACGAAAACGCAAAACCCUUAAAACAAAACGAAGCCCCUCAUUGUCCCUGUUCAACCCAAAGCCAUGUCAUCAGCCGCCGCCGCCACAGCCGUCAGGUCCGUCCUUCGCUCCUCCUCGUCCCGAACCGCCGCAGCAGCGAGGCUCACCGCUGGCGCUGGAGCCAGAGCCAGAGCUAGAGCCAGACCCACGUGCUCACCAUUUCGCAUCCCCAAACAAAACCCUCUCGCACAUCGCAUUUUCAGAUCGCCUGUGGAGAUGAGCUUCUGUGUAGAAACGCUGCUUCCGUAUCACACCGCCACUGCUUCCGCAUUGCUCAACUCCAUGCUCUCCGUCUCUCGCUACGGUUGGACCCCUGAAGAUUGCAAUGAUGAUGUAUGAUGAACGUCAGAGGGUUCGAGCAAAGUUUUAUGUACAUGCACUCUAAGGCAAGAUGGGUGAUUGUUGUUGGGGUGCCGAACAUUGAUCAUAAUUUCCUCGAGUUUCGAUGGACUUUGCAAGACUUGAUUGGGACAUUAUUCUCGUUGGCCGGAUUUGAAAAACACAAGGUUAAAAUGUUGCUCAUCAUAAUGAGAUUAAAUUGUUCUUAUAUAUUCAAACACUUAACAUACAGGCUUGAUGAACUUUUUUUCGCUAUCAUUUUACUGCUUAUCGUUGUAAUCCAGUAAUGUCUAUUAGCAUGCCAUGCCGCCCGUCUCAUAAAAGGAAGAGUUGACUUUUU